GUUGGUCUCUCUAACACUGUGGCAUGUCCCCUUUCUUCUACACUCACUACAGACAUCUUUUCUCUGUCUCAGACUAUAUACCAGGAACUUCUGCCUGCUAGUAAGAAGGUAAGGAGACAAGUGGACCAGCGUGUGCUAGGGGACAGUCCUUUGAAAGAAUGGAGUGAGCGCAUCAUUAGACGCAUUUAUGUCAAGCUCAAGGUGCUGCCUGCAUAGUAUGCCCUUAGUUGGACAGCCUGCAGGAUUGGCAGGCAGCCUGACAUGCAUUCAUGCCAGGCUGACCUUCCAAUUCUUUGGACAAACGUUCCCCUUUUUGGGCAUGUUCACCCCUUUUGGCAGGUCUUGUCACGUGAUUUGCGCCAGUGGCACACCCUUUUACCCCGCCCAUUGACUUCCUGCUUCACUGGACACUGCUGUUAGGGGUUAUGGAUUUACUUGAAAGAUGAAAUCAUAAAUUAGAGAGGGAUUAGCAUAGAGUAUGUGUUUUCUUAUAGCUGCAUCCUAUGAGUUUCCCUCCAGCACCAUCUCCAUCAGAUACAUGACGCUUGGGAGGUAUGAUUGUUUUAGUGUUUUUGGUCGAUAAGAUUCCGUAAUUAGGCCCAUCAUAAUUGUCAGCACCAGGCCCACUGUGCUCUUAAUCCGGCCCUG